rnacentral:lncRNA from 1 species
GCACAGUAGGUGGAUAUGUUAGAGGAUAGGUCUAUAAAGCUCGUCCUAAAAGAGUUUGAUAUAUUAUUUUCUAAAAGAAUCAUAAUGUGAUUGUGGCCUAACAUGCUAUCUUCUUGAAAAAUUGUUGAACCAAGAUGAAGUAAUAAGAGGAAAGUGAAGCUCAAAUAGAGUGUCUCUGAAGAGCAAUAAGCUAUAGGACCUUAAGAAUCUAUUUAUCAUUAUGAGUCAGUAGACAUAUAUUCUUUUUUUCAUCUCGUACACAUAGUAGGAUCUCCAAUCCUCUCAAAAGGUAUUUAGGUAUGCUUAACAGAGGAUGUAGAGAAAGUAGUUUUUCCUGGG